ACCUCCUAUUUCUGCCCCACGUUCCUUUUCACUACCAUGGAAUUAUGGGUUCUAUUAACGGAGAAGAGAAAGCCUGCGAAUGCCAGAACCACACUUUUGAUACAACCGUGGUUUUCGGCGUUUUCAGGAUCGUGUGGAUGAAUCGGACGACUUUGAGACUGUUUUCACAUCUCAAGGAUUCGAUGCCCCACUACAUAU
rnacentral:snoRNA from 1 species